GCGUCUGAAAAUAACCAUGCGGUCGCAUGGUUCAAUUCCAUGCGGCCGCAUAGAAUUGAAGUCUGGCCCCCUUCAACUCUUGGCCUAGGUCUGUGCGACCGCAGGCCAUUUGAGCUGUGCGGUCGCACAGCUUUGGCUCUCUACUCCGUCUUCAUCCGCCUUUAACACGUUGAUCCAAGUCUAUUGGGCCUUCGACCCCAACUUGAAACUUGUUCCAUUUUGUGUCCCGAACAUGAUUUUAUCAACGGUUGUCUUCACGAGCAAUCUCAUUGCCUCUUUUACUCGCUUCGUCCUCGUUCGAGUCAUCGGACCACCCUCGACUAUCAACGGAUCUUUCUUCGGGCUUGACGUUGGACUUGACCUUGAUGCUUGCGGCUCUUGGACCACAUCAUCCCCUCCCUCUUCGAAAGGAUUCAUCCUCGAAUCUGUAUCUGUAUCAAAGAGAGAAAGAUCAGAUACAUUAAAAGUUGCUGAAAUGUUAUAUUCAUCUGGAAGAUCUAAUUUGUAUGCGUUGUCAUUGACCUUCUCAAGCACUUGAAACGGUC
rnacentral:lncRNA from 1 species